AGUGAACGCUGGCGGUAGGCCUAACACAUGCAAGUCGAACGGCAGCACAGUAAGAGCUUGCUCUUACGGGUGGCGAGUGGCGGACGGGUGAGGAAUACAUCGGAAUCUACUUUUUCGUGGGGGAUAACGUAGGGAAACUUACGCUAAUACCGCAUACGACCUACGGGUGAAAGCAGGGGAUCUUCGGACCUUGCGCGAUUGAAUGAGCCGAUGUCGGAUUAGCUAGUUGGCGGGGUAAAGGCCCACCAAGGCGACGAUCCGUAGCUGGUCUGAGAGGAUGAUCAGCCACACUGGAACUGAGACACGGUCCAGACUCCUACGGGAGGCAGCAGUGGGGAAUAUUGGACAAUGGGCGCAAGCCUGAUCCAGCCAUACCGCGUGGGUGAAGAAGGCAUCCGGGUUGUAAAGCCCUUUUGUUGGGAAAGAAAAGCAGCAGGUUAAUACCCCGCUGUUCUGACGGUACCCAAAGAAUAAGCACCGGCUAACUUCGUG
rnacentral:rRNA from 1 species